rnacentral:lncRNA from 1 species
GAGCCUAUGAACUUUGAAGAAGCCCAAGAAAAGAAGUCAUGGAGAAGUGCAAUGGAUGAGGAAAUCAAGUCGAUUCAAAAGAAUGAUACAUGGGAGUUAGCUUCACUUCCAAAUGGACACAAGGCAAUUGGUGUAAAGUGGGUGUACAAGGCAAAGAAGAACUCUAAAGGAGAAGUUGAAAGGUACAAGGCAAGAUUGGUGGCAAAAGGCUAUAGUCAAAGAGUCGGGAUCGACUAUGAUGAGGUAUUUGCUCCAGUUGCUCGCUUAGAAACAGUUAGACUAAUCAUUUCAUUGGCGGCCCAAAAGAGUUGGAGGAUACAUCAAAUGGAUGUCAAAUCAGCCUUCUUAAAUGGAGACCUUGAGGAAGAAGUCUACAUUGAGCAACCACAAGGCUACAUAGUUAAAGGAGAAGAAGACAAAGUCUUAAGGCUGAAGAAGGCGCUUUAUGGAUUAAAGCAAGCACCAAGAGCAUGGAACACUCGGAUUGAUAAGUACUUCAAGGAGAAAGGCUUCAUCAAGUGUCCAUAUGAGCAUGCACUUUAUAUCAAAACUCAAAACAAUGAUAUAUUGAUUGCAUGCUUAUAUGUUGAUGACUUGAUAUUCACUGGCAACAAUCCGAUUAUGUUUGAAGAUUUCAAGAUGGAGAUGACAAAGGAGUUCGAGAUGACCGACAUUGGAUUGAUGUCAUACUACCUUGGCAUUGAAGUAAAGCAAGAAGAAAAUGGAAUCUUCAUUACUCAAGAAGGCUAUGCUAAAGAGGUGCUUAAGAAGUUCAAGAUGGAUGACUCAAAUCCAGUUUGCACGCCAAUGGAAUGUGGAGUCAAGUUAUCAAAGGAAGAAGAAGGAGAGAGUGUGGAUCCAACACUCUUUAAGAGUUUGGUUGGAAGCUUACGAUAUCUAACGUGCACAAGGCCCGACAUCCUACACGCAGUUGGAGUUGUGAGUCGAUACAUGGAGCAUCCAACAACAACUCAUUUCAAGGCAGCCAAGAGGAUCCUACGCUAUAUCAAAGGUACAAUCAACUUUGGCUUGUAUUACUCCAUUUCUGACGAUUACAAGCUUGUUGGAUAUAGAGAUAGCGAUUGGAGUGGAGACGUAGAUGACCAGAAAAGUACAAGUGGCUUUGUGUUUUUCAUUGGAGAAACCGCUUUCACAUUGAUGUCAAAGAAGCAACCAAUAGUCACCCUAUCUACUUGUGAAGCGGAGUAUGUGGCAGCUACUUCAUGUGUUUGCCAUGCUAUUUGGCUACAAUACUUGCUAAAGGAGUUGAACCUACCACAAGAAGAGCCAACGAAGAUCUUUGUGGAUAACAAGUCGGCAAUAGCAUUGGCGAAAAAUCCAGUUUUCCAUGAUCGAAGUAAGCACAUCGACACUCGUUAUCACUACAUUCGAGAAUGUUUUACUAUGAUGGAUGUGUAAUUGGAGUAUGUGAAGACAAAUGAUCAAGUAGAUGAUAUCUUCACCAAGUCACUCAAGUGAGAAGACUUCAUCAAGAUGAGGAGCUUACUAGGAGUAACCAAAUUAAGUUUAAGAAGGGGUGUUGAAAGUUAAACUUGAUUUGGAUCACAUUUUGGGCUAACAAUUCACUAAUCAUGCUUAGCCCAAACUUAGCCCAAUAUCUAGAAUUAUCCUACACCUCCUUAGAAUAAAAAUCUAGAUAUUCUCAUAGAAUUAUCUAGAUAAUUAGGAUAAAAAAUCUGAGAUAUUAUGCUAGAAUUCUCUAGAUUUAGGAUUAAAAUAUGUAAGAUAUUUUAUAAUUUGGAGGCUAUAAAUACCUCCACUUCCCUUCAUUUUGUAUCAUCAAGAAGUAUCCAAGUUUGUAAGAAACUUUCAAGUAAUAAGAAAUCUUCUUAAGUUAUAAAAAGCUUUCUUCUUCACACAAAACACUUUCUCUUCAAACACUUAAACACUUUCUCCAUCUCUAUAAAGUUUUUCAUUCCAUCAAAGUGGUAUCAAAGCUACAAGUUCCUUUUGAAGAUGGCAAAUAGUGGUGUUCCCUUCCAAGUUCCAUUGCUCACAAAGAGCAACUAUUACAAUUGGAGUCUUAGGAUGAUGGCUAUCUUAGGAGCACAUGAUGUGUGGGAGAUAGUUGAGAAAGGCUUCAGUGAACCGGAGAAUGAUGCUGGUCUAUCUCAAACUCAAAAGGAUGGUUUGAGAGAUUCAAGGAAGAGAGACAAGAAGACUCUCUGUCUAAUCUAUCAAGGAUUAGAUGAAGAUACAUUUGAGAAGGUUGCUGGAGCAAAGACGUCUAAAGAAGCAUGGGAGAACUUUCGGACAUCUUACAAGGGAGCGGAACAAGUUAAGAAGGUACGACUUCAAACUCUAAGAGGAGAAUUUGAAGCAUUACAAAGGAAGGAGAACUCAUCUCAGAUUACUUCUCAAGAGUCUUGACGGUUACUAAUAACCUAAAAAGAAAUGGUGAGAAGUUAGAUGAGGUGAGAAUCAUGGAGAAAGUUCUUAAAUCAUUGGAUUCAAAAUUUGAGCACAUUGUUACGGUGAUUGAAGAGACAAAAGACUUGGAGACUAUGACGAUGGAUCAACUUCUUGGAUCACUACAAGCUUAUGAAGAAAAGAAGAAGAAGAAAGAAGAUAUUGUGGAGCAAGUUCUCAAGAUGAGAAUUGAUUACAAGGAAGAAAGUGGCCGAAACAAUCCAAGACGUGGUGGCGGUCAUUUCAGAGGACGAGGUCGUGGUGUAAAUGGACGAGGUUGGAGACCAUAUGAAGAAAACUUCAACCAAAGAGGAGAGAACUCAUCAAGAGGUCGUGGAAGAGGAAAUCCAAAAUCAAGGUACGAUAAAUCAAGCAUCAAAUGCUAUAGUUGCGGGAAGUUUGGACAUUAUGCUUCUGAAUGCAAAACUCCAAACAACAAUAGAGUUGAAGAGAAAUUCAACUAUUUUGAAGAAAGGAAAAAAAGAAGAAGAUAUGCUAUUGAUGGCUUACAAGAAGGAUGAACCAAAUGAGGUUCACAAGUGGUACCUUGAUAGUGGUGCAAGCAACCACAUGUGUGGGAAUAAAAGCAUGUUCAUGGAGCUUGAUGAAUCGGUGAAAACCAAUGUGGCUUUGGGAGAUGAAUCGAAGAUGGAGGUGAAAGGUAAAGGAAAUAUUCUUAUCCGCUUAAAGAAUGGAGAUCAUCAAUUCAUUUCCAACGUUUACUACAUUCCAAGCAUGAAUACCAACAUCUUGAGCCUAGGACAAAUCUUAGAGAAAGGUUAUGACAUUCGACUAAAAAAUAAUAGCAUUUCUUUAUGAGAUAAAGAAAAUAAUCUCAUCACAAAGGUGCCGAUGUCAAACAAUAGAAUGUUUGUCCUAAACAUUCAAAAUGACAUUGCAAGAUGUCUCAAGAUGUGCUACAAGGAGGAAUCUUGUCUUUGGCAUCUUCGAUUUGGGCAUCUCAACUUUGGAAGCUUAGAGCUACUUUCCAAGAAAGAAAUGGUGAAAGGAUUACCUUGCAUCAAUCAUCCAAAUCAAGUGUGUGAAGGUUGCUUACUUGGAAAGCAAUUCAAGAUGAGUUUUCCAAAAGAGUCGGAGACAAGAGCAAGAAAGCCACUAGAACUCAUUCAUACAGAUGUAUGUGGUCCGAUCAAACCAAGUUCACUUGGUAAGAGUAACUAUUUCUUUCUCUUUAUUGAUGACUUUUCAAGAAAAAACAUGGAUUUAUUUCUUGAAACAAAAAUCAGAAGUGUUUGAAAAUUUCAAAAAGUUCAAAGCCCAUGUUGAGAAGGAAAAUGGUCUUAAGAUCAAGUCCAUGAGAUCGGAUCAAGGAGGAAAAUUUAUGUCCAAGGAGUUUCUGAAAUAUUUUGAAGAUAAUGGCAUUCGAAGACAGUUGACGGUGCCAAGAACCCCUCAACAAAAUGGAGUAGGGGAAAGAAAGAAUAGGACAAUACUUGAGAUGGCAAGAAGCAUGCUCAAGAGUAAGAAGCUACCAAAGAAGUUGUGGGCAGAAGCAGUUGCUUGUGCGGUUUAUAUAUCAAACCGUUCUCCAACAAAGAGUGUUUUAGAAAAGACACCACAAGAAGCUUGGAGCGGAAGGAAGCCUGGAGUCUCACACCUAAGAGUCUUUGGAAGCAUUGCUCACGCUCAUGUUCCAGACGAGAAGCAGAGCAAACUAGAUGAUAAAAGUGAGAAGUACAUCUUCAUUGGGUAUGACGCUAACUCCAAAGGCUACAAGCUUUACAAUCCUGAAACAAAGAAGACAAUCAUUAGUCGGAAUGUCAUCUUUGAUGAAGAAGGAGAAUGGGAGUGGAGAUCAAAUGAUGAAGACUACAACUUCUUUCCAUCCUUUUAAGAAGAGAAUGUGGAGCAACCGAGAGAAGAGCCAGCUACACCACCAACUUCAUCAACAACAAGUUCUCAAGGAGAUGAAAGCUCAAGUGAAAGGACUCCACGUUUUAGAAGUCUACAAGACAUCUACGAGGUAACCGAAAAUCAAGACAAUCUUACUCUAUUUUGUCUAUUUGCGGAUUGCGAGCCUAUGAACUUUGAAGAAGCCCAAGAAAAGAAGUCAUGGAGAAGUGCAAUGGAUGAGAAAAUCAAGUCGAUUCAAAAGAAUGAUGCAUGGGAGUUAGCUUCACUUCCAAAUGGACACAAGGCAAUUGGUGUAAAGUGGGUGUACAAGGCAAAGAAGAACUCUAAAGGAGAAGUUGAAAGGUACAAGGCAAGAUUGGUGGCAAAAGGCUAUAGUAAAAGAGCCGGAAUCGACUAUGAUGAGGUAUUUGCUCCAGUUGCUUGCUUAGAAACGGUUAGACUAAUCAUUUCAUUGGCGGCCCCAAAGAGUUGGAGGAUACAUCAAAUGGAUGUAAAAUCAACCUUCUUAAAUGGAGACCUUGAAGAAGAAGUCUACAUUGAGCAACCAGAAGGCUACAUAGUCAAAGGAGAAGAAGACAAAGUCAUAAGGCUGAAGAAGGCGCUUUAUGAAUUAAAGCAAGCACCAAGAGCAUGGAACACUCGGAUUGAUAAGUACUUCAAGGAGAAAGGCUUCAUCAAGUGUCCAUAAGAGCAUGCACUUUAUAUCAAAACUCAAAACAAUGAUAUAUUGAUAGCAUGCUUAUAUGGCUUAGAAACGGUUAGACUAAUCAUUUCAUUGGCGGCCCCAAAGAGUUGGAGGAUACAUCAAAUGGAUGUAAAAUCAACCUUCUUAAAUGGAGACCUUGAAGAAGAAGUCUACAUUGAGCAACCAGAAGGCUACAUAGUCAAAGGAGAAGAAGACAAAGUCAUAAGGCUGAAGAAGGCGCUUUAUGAAUUAAAGCAAGCACCAAGAGCAUGGAACACUCGGAUUGAUAAGUACUUCAAGGAGAAAGGCUUCAUCAAGUGUCCAUAAGAGCAUGCACUUUAUAUCAAAACUCAAAACAAUGAUAUAUUGAUAGCAUGCUUAUAUGUUGAUGACUUGAUAUUCACUGGCAACAAGCCGAUUAUGUUUGAAGAUUUCAAGAUGGAGAUGACAAAGGAGUUCGAGAUGACCGACAUUGGACUAAUGUCAUACUACCUUGGCAUUGAAGUACAGCAAGAAGAAAAUGGAAUCUUCAUUACUCAAGAAGGCUAUGCAAAAGAGGUGCUUAAGAAGUUCAAGAUGGAUGACUCAAAUCCAGUUUGCACGCCAAUGGAAUGUGGAGUCAAGUUGUCAAAGGAAGAAGAAGGAGAGAGUGUGGAUCCAAACCUCUUUAAGAGUUUAAUUGGAAGCUUACGAUAUCUAACGUGCACAAGGCCCGACAUCCUACACACAGUUGGAGUUAUGAGUCGAUACAUGGAGCAUCCAACAACAACUCAUUUCAAGGCAGCCAAGAGGAUCCUACGCUAUAUCAAAGGUACAAUCAACUUUGGCUUGUACUACUCCAUUUAUGACGAUUACAAGCUUGUUGGAUAUAGCGAUAGCGAUUGGGGUGGAGACGUAGAUGACCGGAAAAGUACAAGUGGCUUUGUGUUUUUCAUUGGAGAAACCGCUUUCACAUGGAUGUUAAAGAAGCAACCAAUAGUCACCCUUUCUACUUGUGAAGCGGAGUAUGUGGCAGCUACUUCAUGUGUUUGCCAUGCUAUUUGGCUACGAUACUUGCUAAAGGAGUUGAACCUACCACAAGAGGAGCCAACGAAGAUCUUUGUGGAUAACAAGUCGGCAAUUGCAUUGGCGAAAAAUCCAGUUUUCCAUGAUCGAAGUAAGCACAUCGACACUCGUUAUCACUACAUUCGAGAAUGUGUUACUAAGAUGGAUGUGGAAUUGGAGUAUGUGAAGACAAAUGAUCAAGUAGAUGAUAUCUUCACCAAGUCACUCAAGCGAGAAGACUUCAUCAAGAUGAGGAGCUUACUAGGAGUAACCAAAUCAAGUUUAAGA